rnacentral:rRNA from 1 species
AGUAAUGUAUGGGGAUCUGCCCGAUAGAGGGGGAUAACUACUGGAAACGGUGGCUAAUACCGCAUAAUGUCUACGGACCAAAGCAGGGGCUCUUCGGACCUUGCACUAUCGGAUGAACCCAUAUGGGAUUAGCUAGUAGGUGGGGUAAAGGCUCACCUAGGCGACGAUCUCUAGCUGGUCUGAGAGGAUGAUCAGCCACACUGGGACUGAGACACGGCCCGG